GGAUGGUAUCAAAGGAGACUGGUGAUAUUUACUCUACCAAUGAACCUCAGCUUGCUUUCAACUCGAGGAUUGCGUUUUGCCUGAAUAUGCAUAAUGAGGCAGUUCGUGCCCUUCGGUUUCCACCAAAUUCACACAAGGAAAAAGAAAGCGCCGAGAAAAGAAGAGAAAGACAACAGCAGGAGCAAGAACUUGCAAAACACAUAGCCGAAGAAGAUGAUGACGACUUUUAG
rnacentral:misc_RNA from 1 species